rnacentral:rRNA from 1 species
UACGUAGGGGGCGAGCGUUGUCCGGAUUUAUUGGGCGUAAAGAGCUCGUAGGCGGCUUAGCAAGUCGGGUGUGAAAACUCCAGGCUCAACCUGGAGACGCCACUCGAGACUGCUAUGGCUAGAGUCCGGUAGGGGACCACGGAAUUCCUGGUGUAGCGGUGAAAUGCGCAGAUAUCAGGAGGAACACCGGUGGCGAAGGCGGUGGUCUGAGCCGGCACUGACGCUGAGGAGCGAAAGCGUGGGGAGCGAACAGG